AGGGAAUCUUCCGCAAUGGGCGAAAGCCUGACGGAGCAACGCCGCGUGAGUGAUGAAGGUCUUCGGAUCGUAAAACUCUGUUAUUAGGGAAGAGCAUAUGUGUAAGUAACUGUGCACAUCUUGACGGUACCUAAUCAGAAAGCCACGGCUAACUACGUGCCAGCAGCCGCGGUAAUACGUAGGUGGCAAGCGUUAUCCGGAAUUAUUGGGCGUAAAGCGCGCGUAGGCGGUUUUUUAAGUCUGAUGUGAAAGCCCACGGCUCAACCGUGGAGGGUCAUUGGAAACUGGAAAACUUGAGUGCAGAAGAGGAAAGUGGAAUUCCAUGUGUAGCGGUGAAAUGCGCAGAGAUAUGGAGGAACACCAGUGGCGAAGGCGACUUUCUGGUCUGUAACUGACGCUGAUGUGCGAAAGCGUGGGGAUCAAACAGGAUUAGAUACCCUGGUAGUCCACGCCGUAAACGAUGAGUGCUAAGUGUUAGGGGGUUUCCGCCCCUUAGUGCUGCAGCUAACGCAUUAAGCACUCCGCCUGGGGAGUACGACCGCAAGGUUG
rnacentral:rRNA from 1 species